rnacentral:rRNA from 1 species
AGCUUGGAGGGUUUGAUCCUGGCUCAGGGUGAACGCUGGCGGCGUGCCUAACACAUGCAAGUCGAGCGGUGUAGCUGGAGGCUUCGGCCGAAGGCUGCACAGCGGCGGACGGGUGCGUAACGCGUAGGAACGUGCCCCUCGGAGGCGGAUAGCCGCGGGAAACUGCGGGUAAACCGCCAUACGCUCGGGAGAGGAAAGGCCGGAAGGCGCCGAGGGAGCGGCCUGCGUCCCAUCAGGUAGUUGGUGGGGUAAUGGCCCACCAAGCCGACGACGGGUAGCCGGUCUGAGAGGAUGGCCGGCCACAAGGGCACUGAGACACGGGCCCUACUCCUACGGGAGGCAGCAGUGGGGGAUUUUGGACAAUGGGCGAAAGCCUGAUCCAGCGACGCCGCGUGGAGGAAGAAGCCCUUCGGGGUGUAAACUCCUUUUGUCGGGGAAAAAGGUCUGAUGGUACCCGACGAAUAAGCCCCGGCUAACUACGUGCCAGCAGCCGCGGUAAUACGUAGGGGGCGAGCGUUACCCGGAAUUACUGGGCGUAAAGGGUGCGUAGGCGGCCCCGUGUGUCCGGUGUGAAAGGCCACGGCUCAACCGUGGAUAUGCGCUGGAAACUGCGGGGCUUGGGUGCGGCAGAGGCAGACGGAACUGCUGGUGUAGGGGUGAAAUCCGUAGAUAUCAGCAGGAACGCCGGUGGAGAAGUCGGUCUGCUGGGCCGUAACCGACGCUGAGGCACGAAAGCUAGGGGAGCGAACCGGAUUAGAUACCCGGGUAGUCCUAGCCGUAAACGAUGCUCACUAGGUGUGGGGCGAAGAGCUCCGUGCUGAAGCUAACGCGUUAAGUGAGCCGCCUGGGGAGUAUGCCCGCAAGGGUGAAACUCAAAGGAAUUGACGGGGGCCCGCACAAGCGGUGGAGCGUGUGGUUUAAUUGGAAGCUAAGCCAAGAACCUUACCAGGGCUUGACAUGCUGGUGGUACCGAGCCGAAAGGUGAGGGACCCUAUCGUAAGGUAGGGAGCCAGCACAGGUGGUGCACGGUCGUCGUCAGCUCGUGCCGUGAGGUGUUGGGUUAAGUCCCGCAACGAGCGCAACCCCUGCCCUUAGUUGCCAG